CUUAGAUAAUGGAUCUGAUGUUCAUACCAUGCAUAUACUCUGGUUUGAUAAAUCUUCAGCUAAGAGGACCUCCAUGAAGCUGGAUUCCCUCCGGACCGGGAGAAGAUGAGGGAAGAGAGAAGCCCCUCCCAUUCGCUUCUACUGGGGCUUGUUAGGCCAUCGCCUUGGGGGCCGGCUGAUCAGCGGCAGCCAGCAGCCGGCGGCUUCGGCAGGCAGGAACAAGGACAGCCUGUGGCUACUGCAGCCCCACUGCCCGGCCAUGCUUCAUGAUGGGGGAGAGUGCCUUGGGAGGAAUAUACAGGCAAAUCAUCAGUGACAUCUCCACCCUGCCUGUCCCACCUCUCCAGAAAGGACUCCCAGAGGCCUAUGGACUGGAGCUAUUAACAUCCUGCAGAUGGGAGCCACUCUCUCACUGUGAUCACCAAGUAAUUUUCAUCGACUGUGGAGCAGCCUGCUGGGACCCUGCCAGCUGAUCUUAACAAGCCCACUUACUGCAGGAUUCCCACUGCUUUCCUGGGCUAGGAAUUCCUUAACCAAAGGUGGGGAGUGGUGUGAGGCCUUGGUCCAUUUCAUUGCUGACAUUAGCCCUGCACCAGCGGGAGAACGUUUCUUCCUUUAAUCACCCCAAGAUUAGCCUGCAGUUGCCUCUUUCUGUUGGAUAUUUGAAUAACAAGCUUGAUGAGGCCACUUAACUCCCUCCAAUUACAGCUAAAGAUUUCCUAGAUGAAAGACCUUGAUCCACUGCCUUUCAUGAUUCAGCACUGGAUUUUCUGUUCCAUGCAGCCUUCUAUUGGAAUAAUUUUGUGAAAUGAAGGCAACAAAGUAUUGUUUUCUUAAUCAAAGAGAACUUCAUAAAAAUUGUGCUCCUUGACUGCUAAUUUGUCCUGCAUUGUUACCGAUGCUUUUCUUAUGAUUUUUGUUUUGCACUGAACAGCCCCCUGGCUGAGAGAAAACCCCGAAGCAGUUAAGAUACCAGGAAAGGAAGACUUGAAAAUUGUGAGUCUUUCUCAGUAGAGGAGGCAGUGUGCUGUUAUAUGCUGAUGCAGCUCCUUGUCUUGGACUCAUAACUGACAGAACAGCAUGUGGACCUCACCGCUCCUUGGACUUCGAGUGGCGCUACUCUAACGCUGAGUCCUGACCUGGAUCCCUGUUUGCUUGCCUAGACCUAAGGCGGUGGUGCAGACCUUCCCCCACCCCACAUACCAUCGCCUUCUGGAAUGUGGCUUUGUGGAACUGAGGCUGAGACAAUCACAGUGCCCCAUUCUUCUGGUCAUGUGACAGGUCUGGACCUGGUCAUGUGGCAAAGUCGAAUCUAAGUCACAUCAAAGCAGGGAGAGUUAAAGCAAAUCUUUUCUCUCUUGUUGUGGAGCUGGAAUAUGAGCCCAGAAGCUUCCAGAACACAUGGUCCUGCCCUCAUAAAGAAGCUCAAGUGAGGGAACAAAAUCGACUUAGGUAGCAGCGAGCAUGGAUGGGGCCUGGCUACAUCAAGUUCUCAGAUCCUGUUGUCCCCACCCACCCCCUGUAACUUGCCAAUUUUAUCCAUCAAGCAUCCUCUCCUCUCUCCCAACUUGUCUGAGUUCUGUUUCUGUCAUUGUCACCAAGAGAGCUUUGAUGAGUAAGAAAUCCCAACAUUCCACGGGAGUCUUGGUGGUUUAAAUUUUUAAGUGAGUCCUCACUUGUUAAAGUCUUAUUCCUGUUAGAGGGCACUUCCAUAGUCCAGAAGGUGGGGAAUUCCUAUAGGUGACCUGUGGUCUCUCUAAGCAAUUUGACCAGGACUAUUUAAUAAAAUAUUUUAAAAAUGGUUCCUUUUAAUUAUUCAUUUUCAAAUGUAUAUUUGUUCUUGGCAAACAAGAGAUGAUUUGCGUUAAUCAGUGAUCUUUAAGCAAAUUCCUUGCAAUACUUUAUCUCCAUAUAAACUCGAAGCUUCUUAAAUGAAAUAGUACCUGUGUAUUUCAUAUGGCUUCCUCUUUUAUAAAUAAAAUGAAUGGACUUGGGACCAAAACAGAAUUUUUUUUUUCGGGAACUAUAGGACUGGAAUCUUUUUAUCCAAGGCAGUUGGAUCCCACAGUACAUUUUCACUGUAACAGACAAUGAGGUUGAGUCAAUAAAUAAAUAAAUAAAGUCACCAACAUGUCCAAAAGCCUCCAUUUAAAACUCAAAGCCAGUGGUUUUGGGUUUCACCUUUUCCUUUAAAAUUAAAUUCCCUGAAACCAUAUUUUAAAAAUGCUAUCUGAAUGGGAACCGCCAAACUGGGAAACUUUAAGUUUAAAAAUAGAACUGCAUCUGAAUUAUCUUAUAGAAAUUUGUCUUCUAACCAGCCAUCAGUAACUGUAAGCAUGCUUCAUAGAUCUACAUAUUUCAGCACUUUUUACAUUCUGAAAGAAUCUUGCUUAGAUACGAAGGUUAACUGGACACCUUUUUCUGCAUUCACCUUUAAUACUGGAUGCCCCCUUUAUCUGCACUCCCAAGCUGGGAAGCCCCAGAGUGGGCUCUUGGCCCCUUGCGGCCAACUGAAGUUCUCCAUCUCUGCAGCCUCCGUGAUCACCUUAAGAAUAGGCUCGCGACCUCCUUUGGGCCACACAGAGUCCUUCUCAGGGCUUGCGCUGGAGCUCUCAGGAGGGAUGCUCGCUUUCUCACUGAUCAGGAACUCUAAGGACCAAAGCCUGGAGUGAGGAUGUGAUCUGCUUGCAAGCGAAGGAGGCAGGAGGCAGCCGGACUCGAGGGCACACAUGACCUGGCAGGGCUGAACCUCAGGCUCCGGUGAGGCUGGCUCCUGACUGCCCCUCUGGACUUUCUCAGUUAUUUCAGGCCAUGGAUUAUCUUUAGUGCUUAAGCUAGUUUGAGUUGUGUUUCUGCCACUCAUAAUUCAGAGAAUCCUGGUGGCUUCAGUGUGAUCAGGAAGACAUUGGGAGCCAUUUUAGUUUUUACUUAACUUUUCCAAACUUGCUAGACAGGCUGAUUAUGGGUCUGUGCUAGUCUGGGAACCUGUGUUUGCUCUCUUAAGCCAUGGGUCUUAGACUCAUUUCCUGUUGCAAACAGGAUGCACUGCACAUUUUUACUGUGUUUUUGCUGCCCAUAAGUGGGAGGCAGAUUCGAAUGAUAGAAUUGGAAAGGUUCCAAAAGCACCAGCCAUGGUAGGGACCCUGAAGAUUGCAAGAUAAACAAAAGCAUUCAGAACUUGUGAUGGGAGUGUGAGAGGAUUGAGCGUUGAAGUCAGCCUAACAGAGGCUGUCGUUUACCCGGUGAAAUCCUCAAGUUACAAACAGCUGCUGUGCAAUUGGAAGUCACAGUCUUCAGUUAGGCUUGAUUUGUCAUUUGGUUUAUAAAUAAGCUUUCAUUUUGUCUUUUUUUUUUUUUUUUUUUGGUCUGGCAAUGUGGUAUCUCUUCCUUGCAGGAUUUGGGAAGCUGGGAAUAUGUGUGACCCACACUACCUGAGGGUGAUAGACUUUGACAGUGUCUCCAGCAUUUUCAUGUUGAAAUCUGCUUUAUCCUAAUUUCCAGUCUUGGUCUUGUCUGUCACAGGCUGGGGAGAAGAGCACCGUCCAGAGAAGGACCCAAUAAGGGACAUUUCCACCUUGCUUAGUGGGUUGAGGGCUGGGCUUUGGGUUUGAGAUGUGAAGAGAAAGAAGCUACGUGGAAGAGAAAGGAUGGAGGUACAAGGACGCCCUCCAGCCGGCUACACUUCUGAAACUAAAACAUACAAAACUCAGUGGCUUUUCCUCAACUCCUAUGAUGGAUGUGCAAGGACGCCCUCCAGCUGGCUGCAUUUCUGAUGCUAAAAAUACAAAACUCAGCAGCUUUGCCCAUACUCCUAUGAUGCCUG
rnacentral:lncRNA from 1 species